GCAAGUCGAACGAGAACGGGUAUUAGCUUGCUAUUUUGGCGUCGAGCGGCGGACGGGUGAGUAAUACUUGGGAAUCUACCUAGUCGAGGGGGACAACAGUUGGAAACGACUGCUAAUACCGCAUACGACCUACGGGUGAAAGGGGGCCUCUUCUUGAAAGCUCUCGCGAUUAGAUGAGCCCAAGUGGGAUUAGCUUGUUGGUGAGGUAAAGGCUCACCAAGGCGACGAUCCCUAGCUGGUCUGAGAGGAUGAUC
rnacentral:rRNA from 1 species